rnacentral:rRNA from 1 species
UACGAGGGGGGCGAGCGUUGUUCGGAAUUAUUGGGCGUAAAGGGUGCGUAGGCGGUUUGGUAAGUCUUGUGUGAAAUCUACAGGCUCAACUUGUAGUCUGCACGAGAAACUGCCGGGCUUGAGUGUGGGAGAGGUGAGUGGAAUUCCUGGUGUAGCGGUGAAAUGCGUAGAUAUCAGGAGGAACACCUGUGGCGAAAGCGGCUCACUGGACCAUAACUGACGCUGAGAAGCGAAAGCGUGGGGAGCGAACAGG